UACGAAGGGGGCUAGCGUUGCUCGGAAUUACUGGGCGUAAAGCGCACGUAGGCGGCUCUUUAAGUCGGAGGUGAAAUCCUGGAGCUCAACUCCAGAACUGCCUUCGAUACUGUAGAGCUUGAGUUCGGGAGAGGUGAGUGGAACUGCGAGUGUAGAGGUGAAAUUCGUAGAUAUUCGCAAGAACACCAGUGGCGAAGGCGGCUCACUGGCCCGAUACUGACGCUGAGGUGCGAAAGCGUGGGGAGCAAAGCAGG
rnacentral:rRNA from 1 species